rnacentral:misc_RNA from 1 species
CUGUGGGGUGUAUGCCCUACUAAGAUAGCACCCUUGCCUUUGAAGUACCCUCCGUUUCCUCGGCAGGUCCGCCUGCCAAUGGGGACAACAGCAAACCCUCUUUGUAAUAGCAGUACACGUCCAACAAAAGCAAAUUAAUUA